UGGGGGAGAGAGCAGCUCUCCAAUCCAAUAUGUGAAGUGUUACAAAAGGUUACAAGACUCUAGCUUGUCAAGCUUUACACAUGAACAAACCCUAGAACUACCCUUUGGUAUUUUCCCACUCUCACACUAUGAACCCAAAAUCCCAAGGUGAUUACAAUGUUUUUCCCAACCUAAGAAACUCUCUCAUCAAAGGCACACACCCCAUAGGAUCCCCUCUUUGA
rnacentral:lncRNA from 1 species